UUAUUCGCUCGCUCUAGAUUUUUCAUUUUUAUCCUUCGCCUGGAACCUUUUCCUCCUCCGCUGAAAGAUCACCGAAUCGAAGAUCAUCGAGGACCGUCAGACGAGGUGCUUCGGAUUCGUUACCAGCAACAUGCGAAUGCGAUCCAAGGAGGCCAGAACCUUGAUUUGAGGUGUUUUUCUAUGAUGUUUAGUGUUCUGCGAUGUAAAUGAUAGAGGGGCUUUGCAUGUAUCAGACAUCUGGUCUUUUUGGUUGUGCCCUUGCUCAUUUUGCUCAUUUUGGUGUGAUGGACUUGCGGUGGUUCCCACGUAUUUACCAUAGGGUAAUCACUUUUUCAUCAUGUCAGGUGACCAUGGGAACAACAUGGGAGGCAACCUCACCACUAGCUUUACAGAUCACGAUGACCGAUUUGCACAUUUACACCUUUUGUAAUUAUUAAAGAAUUCGCACUGCCAGACAAAUAAUUUAAUUAGUGGAUAUCGACUGUUUUGUCACUGAAUCAGGAAUUUUUUUUUUCCCGGAAGUAACUGCCUGCCAGUGCUGCAGCUUAAUGCAAUUGAUCUUUACCAGAUGAAACUUUAGGAUGAAGAAGCUGAGUCCGUGGAACUUAAGUCAAAUUUCUUCAUUCUUUCCGGGGAAAAUGUUCUGUAAUGUUUCUCUUUCUUCGUCUGUCAUGGUUCAACGUAUUGGACCAAUAAGGCAAUGGGCUUAAAUAUCCGGGGUUCCUAUUUAGACGGGCCCCAUAUUAUUCCAACAACUAAUAUUGCAGGGAGGCUAGAAUGCAAGAAUUCUAUAGUGAGGGCCUUAUAUAUGGCCUUUAGGUAAGGUCCUAUCUCUUCACGAUCCAACGGUUAAGAGAUAGGAACUCACCCAAGGUAUAAGGUCUUCACUAUAGAAUUUUUGCAACAUAGCCCCUCAUUAUAGAAGCUCCCGUAAUAU